rnacentral:rRNA from 1 species
GACGAACGCUGGCGGCGUGCUUAACACAUGCAAGUCGAACGGAAAGGCCCUGCUUUUGUGGGGUGCUCGAGUGGCGAACGGGUGAGUAACACGUGAGUAACCUGCCCUUGACUUUGGGAUAACUUCAGGAAACUGGGGCUAAUACCGGAUAGGAGCUCCUGCUGCAUGGUGGGGGUUGGAAAGUUUCGGCGGUUGGGGAUGGACUCGCGGCUUAUCAGCUUGUUGGUGGGGUAGUGGCUUACCAAGGCUUUGACGGGUAGCCGGCCUGAGAGGGUGACCGGCCACAUUGGGACUGAGAUACGGCCCAGACUCCUACGGGAGGCAGCAGUGGGGAAUAUUGCACAAUGGGCGGAAGCCUGAUGCAGCAACGCCGCGUGCGGGAUGACGGCCUUCGGGUUGUAAACCGCUUUCGCCUGUGACGAAGCGUGAGUGACGGUAAUGGGUAAAGAAGCACCGGCUAACUACGUGCCAGCAGCCGCGGUGAUACGUAGGGUGCGAGCGUUGUCCGGAUUUAUUGGGCGUAAAGGGCUCGUAGGUGGUUGAUCGCGUCGGAAGUGUAAUCUUGGGGCUUAACCCUGAGCGUGCUUUCGAUACGGGUUGACUUGAGGAAGGUUGGGGAGAAUGGAAUUCCUGGUGGAGCGGUGGAAUGCGCAGAUAUCAGGAGGAACACCAGUGGCGAAGGCGGUUCUCUGGGCCUUUCCUGACGCUGAGGAGCGAAAGCGUGGGGAGCGAACAGGCUUAGAUACCCUGGUAGUCCACGCUGUAAACGGUGGGUACUAGGUGUGGGGUCCAUUCCACGGGUUCCGUGCCGUAGCUAACGCUUUAAGUACCCCGCCUGGGGAGUACGGCCGCAAGGCUAAAACUCAAAGGAAUUGACGGGGCCCCGCACAAGCGGCGGAGCAUGCGGAUUAAUUCGAUGCAACGCGUAGAACCUUACCUGGGUUUGACAUGGAUCGGGAGCGCUCAGAGAUGGGUGUGCCUCUUUUGGGGUCGGUUCACAGGUGGUGCAUGGCUGUCGUCAGCUCGUGUCGUGAGAUGUUGGGUUAAGUCCCGCAACGAGCGCAACCCUUGUUCACUGUUGCCAGCACGUUAUGGUGGGGACUCAGUGGAGACCGCCGGGGUCAACUCGGAGGAAGGUGGGGAUGACGUCAAGUCAUCAUGCCCCUUAUGUCCAGGGCUUCACGCAUGCUACAAUGGCUGGUACAGAGAGUGGCGAGCCUGUGAGGGUGAGCGAAUCUCGGAAAGCCGGUCUCAGUUCGGAUUGGGGUCUGCAACUCGACCUCAUGAAGUCGGAGUCGCUAGUAAUCGCAGAUCAGCAACGCUGCGGUGAAUACGUUCCCGGGGCU